GACAGAGUAGGUAAAGAGCGUCAAGUGUUAAGGGAUGGGAAGUUGCCCUUAAACGAAGGAAAUAAUUCUGCGAUUCUUUACCGCGUCCGCUGGA
rfam:Tissierella praeacuta DSM 18095 genome assembly, contig: EK13DRAFT_scaffold00001.1